GGGAUUGCCUCAGUAACGGCGAGUGAAGCGGCAACAGCUCAAAUUUUAAAGCUGGCGUCUUCGGCGUCCGCAUUGUAAUUUGGAGAGGCAUCUUCGGUUUGGGCGCCAGCCUAUGUUCCUUGGAACAGGACGUCACAGAGGGUGAGAAUCCCGUGCUUGGCCGGCUGUCCCAUUCCAUGUGAAGUGUCUUCGACGAGUCGAGUUGUUUGGGAAUGCAGCUCAAAAUGGGUGGUAAAUUUCAUCUAAAGCUAAAUAUUGGUGGGAGACCGAUAGCGCACAAGUAGAGUGAUCGAAAGAUGAAAAGCACUUUGAAAAUAGAGUUAAAAAGUACGUGAAAUUGUUGAAAGGGAAGCGCUUGAGACCAGACUCGGCCGGGGAUGAUCAGCUGUCCUUCUGGGCAGUGCACUUGUCUCUGGUCGGGCCAGCAUCGGUUGAGACGGCGGGACAAAGGCUUCGGGAACGUGGCUCCUUUCGGGGAGUGUUAUAGCCCGUCGCGUAAUGCCGCCAGCCUCGACCGAGGACCGCGCUUCGGCUAGGAUGCUGGCGUAAUGGUCUUCAGCGACCCGUCUUGAAACACGGACCAAGGAGUCUAACAUCUAUGCGAGUGUUUGGGUGUCAAACCCUUGCGCGAAAUGAAAGUGAACGGAGGUGGGAACCCGCAAGGGUGCACCAUCGACCGGUCCUGAUGUCUUCGGAUGGAUCUGAGUAGGAGCAUAGCUGUUGGGACCCGAAAGAUGGUGAACUAUGCCUGAAUAGGGUGAAGCCAGAGGAAACUCUGGUGGAGGCUCGCAGCGGUUCUGACGUGCAAAUCGAUCGUCAAAUUUGGGUAUAGGGGCGAAAGACUAAUCGAACCAUCUAGUAGCUGGUUCCUGCCGAAGUUYCCC
rnacentral:rRNA from 1 species